UAUGUGCAUGUUGUUGAUCCUAUGGUUUGGUUUCAUUUACCUUUAUUUUUAUAGGUGAUCGGCAGAGUUUUCAAAAUAGAUGCAAAUGGAGCUUUAGUUGACAUAACUGCAAAAUCAUCAGCUUACUUGCCUCUCCGAGAAGCAUCCAUCCGCAGUAUCAAACAUGUAGAGGAGGCUGGCAUAUAUAGUUCCUGGCUUGCGUGAAGAGUUUAUAUAAUCAUUGGGGAGAAUGAGGCUGAUGAUAGUUUAAUCUUGAGCUUGUGUUCAAACGCUGCAGAGUGCAGACAACUUCAAGCUGAAGAUGUUGUUGUCCAGGGAAAGGUAAUUGGAGCUAACAAACGUGGUGGUGGUGGCAGCGGCGGCAGCAGUGGUGGAGGAGGGUCUCGGAGGUUUCGUGCCAUUUUCACAAAUCUCAACGAGCUCGGAAGGGAUCUUGGGACCUUUGACAGCUUCAGAGCUGCCAGUGGAAGGCUUGGGUUUAGGCGACAUCCCCCUUGCUGAGGAAUAGAUUUAGAGAUUUGUAGGAGGAGGAAGACAAACACAACUAAUUGCACUUCCAUCUGGAAUCAUUAUUUGGCUGGAAACCUGCUAAACCCAACUCCACGCUCUCUAGGUUGGGCACUGAGUGACAGAUUGAUUUUCCCUACCUAAAUGGUUGGUUGGAUCCAUGGAUGGAUGAUUCGAGGCAAUUGAAUGCGAGUCAUGAAGCAGGCAGGCAGGAUCCCAUGGUUAAGACUAUUUACCUCACCUGUGUACUGUAUGAGCGAGCAUGAGCAUG